UAUCGAGUUAUUCAACUCCCAAACCCUAUGUGAACUUACCACUUGUUGCUUCGGCGCGCGCUUCGGCGCCCCAGGACACUUAAACUCUUUGUUUUUAUAAGCAUUUCUGAGUGGCCGAAAGGCAAAAAUACAAAUGAAUCAAAACUUUCAACAACGGAUCUCUUGGUUCUG
rnacentral:misc_RNA from 1 species